GGGCCUGUAGUCCAGUGGUAGAACGUUCGCUUAGCAUAUGUCAACUGCGAGAGGUCCAGGGUUCGAUUCCCUGCUGGUCCA
rnacentral:tRNA from 1 species